UACGUAGGGGGCUAGCGUUGUGCGGAUUUACUGGGCGUAAAGAGCGCGCAGGCGGUCGUUCAAGUCGGGUGUGAAAGCCCCCGGCUCAACUGGGGAGGGUCACGCGAUACUGAUCGACUCGAAGGCAGGAGAGGGUAGUGGAAUUCCCGGUGUAGUGGUGAAAUGCGUAGAUAUCGGGAGGAACACCAGUGGCGAAGGCGACUACCUGGCCUGAUCUUGACGCUGAGGCGCGAAAGCUAGGGGAGCAAACAGG
rnacentral:rRNA from 1 species